rnacentral:rRNA from 1 species
ACACGGACCAAGGAGUCUAACGUGUGCGCGAGUCGUUGGGAUUCGAUACUAUAAUCCCGUGGGCGCAAUGAAAGUAAAGAGGUUGAGGUGUCUUCGGACCCUCUCCUUGCGGGACGAUGGGUGUCCGUACUCCUUAGUCGGCAUCCAGCACUCCCAGGGCGUCUCGACCCCUCCUUCGGGCGAGGUGAGGCGCGCCUUGAGCGUACACGUUGGGACCCGAAAGAUGGUGAACUAUGCCUGGCCAGGAUGAAGUCAGGGGAAACCCUGAUGGAGGUCCGCAGCGAUUCUGACGUGCAAAUCGAUCGUCUGAGCUGGGUAUAGGGGCGAAAGACUAAUCGAACCAUCUAGUAGCUGGUUCCCUCCGAAGUUUCCCUCAGGAUAGCUGGCGUUCACGAUUAAUGAGUCUCAUGCGGUAAAGCGAAUGAUUAGAGGCAGUGGGGUCGAAACGACUUCAACCUAUUCUCAAACUUUAAAUGCGUGAGAUCUCCGGCCUGCUUUAGUAUGAAGCCGGAGUGGUGUCCUGUACACUGACGGAUCGGAACGCCAGGUGGGCCAAUUUUGGUAAGCAGAACUGGCGCUGUGGGAUGAACCAAAAGCCCGGUUAAGGCGCCCGAAUCGACGCUCAUGGGAAACCAUGAAAGGCGUUGGUUGCUGAAGACAGCANGACGGUGGCCAUGGAANUCGGAAUCCNCU